rnacentral:lncRNA from 1 species
GUGGAAGGGGAAACUGAGGCACGGCGCUGCGUUCGGUGGAGAUGCGGCUCCGAUGCCCGCAGCACCCCGUCCCGCUGCCUCGCUGUGCCCCGCAGAGCAUCGUGGCCAAACACGGCGCGCAGUUCCGCGGCAACGCUCAGCACGACGCCCUCGAGUUCCUGCUGUGGCUGCUGGACCGCAUGCACGAGGACCUGGGCAGCGCCUCACCCGCACCGGGACCCCGCGCUGCCCACCAGCGCAGUGUGGAGCAGAGUGGUGCCGGUGGGGAGAGCUUUGUGCAGAGCCACUUCCAGGCGCAGUACAGGUCCUCCCUGACGUGCCCGCACUGCCGGAAGCAGAGCAAUACCUUCGACCCAUUCCUGUGCAUCUCGCUGCCCAUCCCUGUGCGCCAGACCAGGUGAGCGCAUGGCGAGGGGACAGCCAGCACCGCUGGGGGCGUCCGGCUCCAAAAAAAGGGCCAUUUGUGCCAUAUG